AUCGUUCAGAGCUUUUCGUCGCCACCGCUGCACAGCAGAGAGAGAGAGCAAAACAACAAAAACAUGUUUAAAAGCACCAACAAAAAUAAGAAAACCAGCCCCCCAUUUUAUUGCGUGUAUUGUGGUUGUUUUUGUGAGAAUUUAAAAAUAGACAGCCUGAUUUGAUGUCCAUGUAUUCGUUGUCCGUGGGAGUUCACUAUGAGUGUGUGUAUGUAUGUAUGGGGGAACACGCCUUAAAAUUUUUCGCAUAACAGAGGGUAUCCAUUGAGAAGAUUCGCUUAUCAGUGCUUCCGCCCUUCCCAUGAGGCCGCUCUUUUUUAACCCUUGAAGAAGGGGGAAUUAUGAUUUGAGCAAUUCGGCAAAAGUGCUAUAAAAAUCACGUGCAGAAAGAUAUUGGCGAAUUCAGUUGUUACAUUGCCCAACUUUGCCCAUAAAAAUCUCACGUAGACAGGUGCCAAAGAUUUCCGGCAUGGCAAAAUUAAAACGUAGUUAGAUAUCGUAACAAUAGAUACGUACGCCUGCAUAUGCGACUCUUAAAAGGUGUUUCAACUCGCCGUAUGGUCAAUCACUUCAUAUGGAGGUCACUGAAGUCCAUUCCGUGUAUAUCCGCUUCUGCUUAUACAAAGAAUGCUAAUUAAAAAGAUAGACAACACGAGACUGUACCUCUCUUGGAAUGGACUGACUCAAAAAAAAGUUAAGCAGGUGGUCGCUGCGUUUUGGAUAUAAAGACAAAAAAGGCAAAGAAAAAACUUUGGUUGUAUUUGUGUGAAAAACUGAGGCGCAAUAAUGGAUCUCAGGUGUGCGAGAAGGGAGGAAGGAGUGCUGGCUGCUGUUAUUGUUGUCUGUACAAUCAUCAUAUGACUAAUUAUGCCAAUUGCCACAACAUCCAGGGUACAGAUUACCUCAGAGGCCGACAAUUCCUGAUAGAACACGGGCAAGGUCGCUUAUCAGAUAUGGCUGGUGGUUUAUAAAUAGCAUAUCCGUACGGCUUUGCUUUAAUCAAUGGGAACCAUUUAGUUCUGACACAAGCUCAAUUGAGCAAUCAAAACUCUUUGUGUGUGUGUGUGUGAGUGUGUGUCACAGGGUCAUCUGUCAUUUUGAGAUUGAAACCAGUGCUGCCAGCUUUUUAGAUUCACCAUAGGCUAGAUUAAAAAAAAAAUAAACUAGAAAAACCUAAAAAUUAAAGAAAAAAUAGCUUAAGAAUAAGCUAACCAUCAGAAUAAUGAAUACUUUCAUUUUAUUGAUAUACUUUGUUAAAAUUUGUAACUAAGCAAUGUACAAACAAACCGCAACCUCCUGCAUCUCUGUUUUUGAGGACUUUCUAACAAAAGGUAUUUUGUCAUGCUUGCAUUGGACGCAAUAUGUUCGUACAACUUGGCCCCAAUUUUUGCCUUAUAAAAGAACGAGUACGAAACAGAAAUUGUUUUGUACUAAAUUAUUUUUAGUCAAAAUAAGCUAAAGUGGCAACACUGAUUGAAACAGCGCUUCUUUGGCUACACCAUCUACGUCACGUCGGCAAUCAGCUGUCGGCCCAAAAGGGCACGAGGGUCGGUGGCACGUAGGCCACAAAGUGGUAAGGGGAGCGAAAAAAAAAAAAUAGAAGAGAGGGCAGAGAGCGAAAGAGAGAGAGAGAGAGAGAGUGUGGAAGUGCGUGACAGAAAGUCCACUUGCUGGCCUUGCCCAAGGUGUAGUUAUGUAAGAGAAAUUCAAGCAAACUAAAUCAGAGAAACAGCUGCGCAAGGACUGUCCCUUCUGCAAGGAGCACAAGAAGCGGCCACUCAUCAAUUACA
rnacentral:misc_RNA from 1 species